GUUAUUUUAUUUAUUUUUCCUUAUCUAGAACCCUACUCUAGCAUUCUUUCCUUUUAUUUUCCUUCUUUUCCCGUCCCACUAGCCUCAUCUAUAACAUUCAAUUUUUGUUUUUCCAGUUGAAAGCGCUUGGAGCAGAGGGGAUGAUAAGAGAGCUGAUCCAGUAUUUGGACGUGGCAGAGAAUAUAUUUUGUCGUAAUAACAUUUAUCUGCAACACCUAUUUAUAAUACAGUGCUGCAUUCACUUGUUGAGGCUAAGGAAGUAGGUGUUUUCAUCACCAUUGGUUUUCCUUUCAUUUGCAACUUCAUGAUAGGACCAGUGUUCAUCUACUUUUCUCUUUCUGAUUUCAUGCAGAAUCAAAUGGCAAUUAAGAUAUUUAAAAAUAUGAAGUCAUUUGGUUUCCCGGCAGAUGCUGCGACUUAUCAUAUAAUGAUUGAUUGUUGUAGCAUUCUAGGAUGUUACAGAUCUGCUUGCGCAUUGGUCUCCAUGAUGUUGCGAGAUGGCUUUUAUCCACUAACAGUGACUUACACCAUUCUCAUAAAGGUAGCUUUAAUAUUAUGAUUACUCAGUCUGAAUUAUCAUGCAUCUUGGGAAACUGCUACCAUUUGUGUAUGUGAUCGAAAAGUGUAAUUUUUCCAACUCUUGUUGUGCAAACUAGUCAUUUUAGUUCUGCUUUGUUUACAUAAAAACCCCUUCAUUCAUCCUUUUUCAUGCUUUUUUAUUUUUUAUUUUUUUUUCUGACUAGAGUGUUUGCAAUAUAUGAAUGCACUUAAUUUCUUUUUCUUCUUUUUUUUUUUUUCUUUUUUUUUUUUUUGGGUCUGAGAAUGCACGUCAUUUCAAGUUGAAUAGAUAAGCUAUAGAAAUUCUUCGAUAGCCCAUUGCAUGAUGACAUUUUUGGAUGAAGUAAGAACUCUUACAAAAAGAGAAUUUUUUGUUGUCCUCAUAAGUUUCAUUUAUAGAAAGUUCAAAUAUUUAUAAAGAUAUUUAAAUGAAGACAAUUAGUGAGUUCAUUUUUUAAAAAUGAAAAAGAAAACAGAAGGGAAGUUACAUUUUUGUCUUCUCUGAAAUAUAAGUAAUUUAAUUAAAGAUGAUGACUUUGAGGAAGAUGUUGAAUCUUGUUUUGUUCCAGAUUCUGUUGGAAGAUGAUGACAUUGAGGAAGCAUUGAAUCUUUUGGAUCAAGCCAGUUCAGAACGCAAUGAACUUGAUACCUUGCUAUUUAAUACCAUUCUUGAAAAAGCCUGUGAAAAGGUAUCUCAUAAGAUGGUUCUCGAUAUACAUGAUUAUAAUUUGAUCAACCACAAAAAUUGUGGUUGCAUUAUUUGUUAGUAAUAUAUAUUUUUCUUUUCCCCUGCAAUAAAUGUCAGGAAGUGAUUGAGGUAGUUGAAUUUGUCGUUGAGUGGAUGCACCAAGAAAAAGUCCAGCCGGAUCCAGCGACCUGCCAUUUUGUUUUCUCUGCAUAUGCCAACAGUGGUUUUCACAGCACUGCCAUGGAAGCACUGCAGGCUUUGAGCAUGCGCAUGAUAUGUGAAGAAGAUGGCAGCUUUCCAGAAAAGGCAGAAUUUGAGGAUGACUUCAUCUUUGCUGAAGACUUGGAAGCUGAAUCACGAAUAGUACAGCUUUUUAAAGAUUCUGAAGAGAAUCUUGCUGUUGCCCUUUUGAAUCUAAGAUGGUGCGCCGUGCUCGGCUUCCCAAUUUCAUGGUCACCUAAUCAAAGCCCAUGGGCCAGAAGACUGUCAUCUAACUACACUGCCAGGAAAGGAGCCACCUAAUCAUGAUAUAUAUAGGUGGCAUUAUGACUCCAGUGAGUUUCCCUUUAUUAUUAUUUUUGGUUGUGGUCGAACAAAGCGUAAGGCCUCCUCAGGAAGAAGGGGAGAGGGUGAGAGGCACAGAUGAGGUCUUGAUCUUUUACCGCUGAUUUUUUAGAUUUGUAUUAGGCUAGGAUAUUUGAGAAAAUUAGGGGAUGCCCUUUUAUCUUUUUUGGUUCAUUACGUUAUUUUGUAAGCUACUGCUUUGUAUAUUUAAAAGGUGAAAUCGUGCUGCAGUUCUCUAAACAAGAUCAACUGUGCCUAGGAGGAGGCGGCAGCAUGUUUUGUUGUUAAUUUAACAAAAAAAGCACAAAAAAGCAUUGAUAUUUUCUUUAUGCUUUUAUUCUUUAGCAAGUAUGCUUUGACCGCUAUCUUCUGUUGUC
rnacentral:lncRNA from 1 species